rnacentral:sRNA from 1 species
AUAUGCCCCCAUGCUUUGGUGGUGGGUAUAAAAAUAUGUCAGUAAGGAUGCUUUGACGAAAGCUAUUGUAAAAGGAAUGUAUCAAAAUACCGGCAGAUUACUUUCGUGCAGCUUGCAACUCGUAUUAACCAACUCAGAACAAUAGUCAAGGCAUAAGGUGGUCAUAUUUCUUCCACACAUUUUUGACAUUUAAAACAAUAAAAAAAAAACUUUUCACAUAAAAACUAAUUUUAACGUUUGAAUUGGUUACACUUCGUAGCAGGAAGGACCGACAAAAUAAUGGAAAGAUAGUGCUAAAGAAAACUCUUGGAACUUGCUGUUAAAAAUGGGAAAGAAACGCACAAAAUCAAAGUACAAAGCGCUUAGUAUUUUGGCGUAUGGGAAUAUGGACAACAGCUGCUUGAUUUUGACAGAGAAGCAAUCAAACGCUAAUUCGCCGUUUAGUGGAUCGAUGACGUAACGGGAAACGUAAUGGAAUUACGAAACCUGGAAAACGUGUCGCAUGGCUAAAAAACAAUAAAACAAUAAUUAAACUGAAAUUAACAUGAUGUUCAUAAAGUAGAUAAAAAUUACCUACUAUAUUUUUACCAGCAGAGCCUGGGAAAAUUUAUAUAAGAUAAAUCAGCUGGGCUGAUAAAUUUUUGCGAUUUCAGAGUUUCACCCAAAUCUCAUUAGAAUAUCAAACAGUUUGUUCAGAUUUUUAAGGGUUCUCACAUUUUGUAGAUUUGUUUACACUUUCUUUAUUUUAAUUUAUAAUUAACACUUUUAUAAUCACAAAUCUAUUAAUAUUGUGCCUUUUGCACAUCAAAAUGCAAAUAAACAUG